rnacentral:tRNA from 1 species
UCCGCGAUAGCUCAGUUGGUAGAGCAAAUGACUGUUAAUCAUUGGGUCCCUGGUUCGAGUCCAGGUCGUGGAGCC